rnacentral:rRNA from 1 species
GCAAGUCGAGGGGCAGCAUUUCCAGCUUGCUGGAAGAUGGCGACCGGCGCACGGGUGAGUAACGCGUAUGCAACCUGCCUUGUACUGGGGGAUAGCCCAGAGAAAUCUGGAUUAAUACCGCAUAAUAUAUUUGAAUCGCAUGGUUUAAAUAUUAAAACUCCGGUGGUAUAAGAUGGGCAUGCGUAGCAUUAGUUAGUUGGUGAGGUAACGGCUCACCAAGACAAUGAUGCUUAGGGGGUCUGAGAGGAUAGUC